ensembl:lncRNA
UGUAGAUAGUGGUGUUGUAGUGUGGUAUACUGUAGAUAGUGGUAUUGUAGUGUUGUAUACUGUAGAUAGUGGUGUUGUUGUGUUGUAUACUGUAGAUAGUGGUGUUGUAGUGUGGUAUACUGUAGAUAGUGGUGUUGUAGUGUUGUAUACUGUAGAUAGUGGUGUUGUAUACUGUAGAUAGUGGUGUUGUAGUGUUGUAUACUGUAGAUAGUGGUGUUGUAUACUGUAGAUAGUGGUGUUGUAGUGUUGUAUACUGUAGAUAGUGGUGUUGUAUACUGUAGAUAGUGG